UUUUUUUUUUUUUCAUUCCGGGUUCCCUUUUGGGUGUUCAGCCCUGUAGCUUUUUUUUCCAAUGCUUGAAAUUCAUUUCGGAUUUUCGGCCUAGCGAAAUUUUUUUUUUUUUUGAAGAAGAAAACAAUGAUAAAGGAAGAGGAGGAGCAGGAAGAAGAAGAGUCAAGGUGCCGUUUUUUUUGCGGCAAUUUACCCUAAGAUCAUGUAGGAAUUCGAUCAUUUUUCCCUCCUCAAAGUGGCAGAGAGAUUCUAAUAUCGGUUAUCAUCUACUUUCCCUCACCCCAGGUUGGCAUCCAAUAUCUCUUUAACAAUAGUUGCUGAAUUUCCGUCGAACUUUUCUUUUGAACUGCUCUACUUGAACCUUGAUUUUGGGACCCAAAAAAAAAUUACUCUUAGUUUCCUAAUCCCUCAAUAUUUUGAAUGGACGAAUAAGUUCAUCAGGGUUUUCUUGUUAAUGAAGUACUUUAUAUUACACACUAGGCGUUAAUGUCUUUUGAAGUGUGAGGUAUGAAUGCCUCAUUUGGUUAUUUGCAAGGGGUGAGUGAUCACUCAGCUCUUUUUCAAUUAUCUUUUUCAUUGCAAAUUGUGUGUUGCUUUUCGAAGGUUAACUCCGUAGUAGGCUCCUUCUCAAUGCUCGAGAUUAGGUGAGACUCUUAUACCAAAGGAGUGAUUAAGUUGGUAUCAAAUGGCCUUAUGGCAUGUUAGGAGUGAACAAAUGAGGGUUGAAUCUCAUUAAUUUCCCAUGUUAUGUCCUCUUCAUGAGAGGAGACUGCCAUUAUUGAAUAGUUUGAUGGGGUUGCCCCUGUAGGGAUUUUUGUUCUAUUGGGAACUUGUUCUUCAUGAGAUAAACUUUCUUGAUAUGAGGGUGCCCCAAUUAUCAGAGUUGUGCUCCUGCCCCAGUUAAGCUCUGGAAAUCUCUCCUCUUGAGGAGGUAACCCAAUUUGGUCAUCAGCUUUUAAUUCCUCGUCCUAGAUGGGUGGAUCAUCUAAGAAGUCUUGUGAAGCAGCCCAAGUGACCCCCUUAUAAUUUUUGAAGGUUCAAGCUCUGUCAACUCUAGUGAAGGUGUCAAAUCUUUGGGAAUAUUCAUAUCUGGGCUCUUUGCUUCUCCACUAUCUACAACUGGGUUCAUCUCAAAAGGUGACUUAAUUAAAUCUUCUAUGCUUGGCUCCUCAUCCCAUGUAGGUGGGUUGGCGAGGAAAUCCGAUGAAGGUUGUCUUUUUAAAAGAUCCAAUAGAUCUGCUUCGGGCUCUUAGAGGUAGUGGCCACAAGAAAAUAUGAAUUGAGUCGGGUCGUCUUCUUCGUCCCUACUCUCGAUCAUGUGAAUGACAAUGUUCCCUUUGCCGUUGUCUUGGUCUCCCGUCUUUCCAGUUGUUAUGAUGGUAUUUUUGAGGAGAGGAUUUUCAAAGAUACCCAUCUUUUGAUUAGGCUCUUCAACAGGCUGAUUUUUCAGUAGGACAGUGAUGUCCCCCCUAUCGAUCAGCCCUUGAAUAACCCAUUUCGAAUGAUAGCAAUUUUGAGUGUCAUGUGAGUGCAUUUGCACCACGUGCUCUUGACUGUGACUUGGAAUGGUGGCUUGGAUGGCGGUGGGAGGUAAACCAUCGUUUCUAGACAAGAUUAAUUCCAGUACUUUUUCUAACGGGUCUUUGAGAUGAGUGAAAUUGUCCUCUCGCCUUUGGUUGCUAUUUUGAGUGUUGACUCUAGGCCUUUUGUUUUGGUUUCGAUUGUUGCGUUGAGCAGUUGAACCUCGAAUCAACCCGUUAAUGAUAAUUUCAUUAACUUGACAGGAAGUAUUCCCCUUGUUGUUGUUAUUGUUUUUGUUUUUAUUUUGGGAAGUGGUUAGCGGUUUAUUCUUGGGCCUGGUAUUGAGGGGUGUUCCUCUAGCCCUUUCAUGACUUGCCACCCGCUAAAUCAUAGAGUCAAAAGAGUAGCGGAUAAGACCUUGGCUGCAGAAGGUCAUGUAUUCAAGAGCGGCAUUUUUUAGGGCCAUGGAUAUUUUGGCCGAGUCCGUGAGUGGGCAUUCGAUGACCCGCAUUGCCGCCCUCGCAAAAUCGAUUGAUAAAAUCCUCAAAGGAUUCUCUCGGGUUUUGCUUUGUUGCACAGAGUUCGCUCAGGGAUAGUGGCCUUAGUGUCGAUCCAUGGUAGUGGGAGACGAAUAGGUUGAACAUUUCAUCUGGAGUGAUGUGCGGUUGAGUUCUCAUCCCUCUUUGAUGCCAGUUCAGAGCCUCGCAGGACAACGUUUGCGAAAAUAUGGCCUUCAGUUGAUUUGGCCUUCUCGCAAGGGUCGAACGGAGAGGACAUAUACGUUAACAUGGGUAUCUGGAUAGCUCUUCCCGUUGAACUUGUUUCGGAAUUUGGGGAUGACGAAUCCGAAGGGAAGGUCCUCCAUUUCUCCGAGGGCCUCAUGAACAUAGGCCUUCGGGGGUAAAACUUAUUGAAUGCCCAUUCUUACAAGCAUAUCUUGCAUUAUUUUCAUGGUGCUUUCAUACCGGGCAUUUGGCAUGAUGGUAGGCUCACCGGUUGGCGGGUUCCCAAGUGUAGAUUGAUGAGUCAAAGCUUGGGGUAUGUAUUGGCCCGUAUGAAGCUGAGGUUGAUGAGUCGCGGUCACCAGGACAGUUUGGAGUACCUGUGCCUGAGGGACAUACUAUCCUAUAGGUGUCACUACCGGCUGCAGAAAUUGCACGGUCUGUUGGAUGUGAUGGACUACAGGGACCGAUUGAAGAACCGGUUGACUCGGUUGUCCUAGGGGUUGCCCUAUACCACUAAAUUGGUUCGGAAUCAACCCAUGUGCUAGAGCAUGAACAGUGUAACCUCGGUCAACUAAACUUUGAAGGACAGCUUGAAUACCUGCAUCACCUAAGGGUCGGUUCAGGUCGAUACCUCUGUUUCGUACAGCGUUCAGGUUAUCAUUAGUUGUACUAUGGUGGCUUGAGGCUGGUUCAGAUCCCCUAGACCUAAGUGGGUCUUGGUUUCAAGGUCGCCACGCCUCGGGGUUAUUUUGGUUCGAGUUAUUGGAAUGAGUGUUUGAUACAGCAUGAACUUCUUCCCUCACUCGACUUCUACUUUGGUUGCUCAAGAGCCCUUGUAGUAUGACCCCAGGUCGGACCCCUUGAUUAUUUGAAGUCUUUUGGGUAUAACUAGCUUUGCGGGCUACAUAGAUCUCAGGAUUGGGAGUCGAUCCUUGAGACUCUGCCUCUAUAUGAAGACUUGGACGCCUAAAGAUGGACGGAUCCAGGUUCUGGCCAUAAUCCCAAGGGAUUAUGACAUAUUGGUCCCUAGGCUUGGAAAGGUUAGGUUUGGAGUCUGCUAUGGAGCAAUCAUCAUAGUCCCCCUGAGUGAUCGAUAUGGUGGCUGCUUCUGACUCGAUUCUGGAAUCUAGACUUAUGGUGAGAUCUAGACUCGAUGGCUUAGGAGAAAAGCUAGUCUGGUUUCAGGGGCGAAACCAUAAACUAAGACUUAGGCUAGGACUAGACCAAACCUGCUAGACUUGAUGAAUUUUGGUUUAGACCCUGAACUAGGGUAAACCUAGUCUAGCUCUAGAGGCAACUCUAAGCUAGGACCUAUGCUAUAACUUAGACUGAGAUCUAGACUAAAUGGGUACGAGUCUCGGCUCGGACCAAGAGUGGGUCUGAGUUCGGACCUAGGUGUGAGCCUGGUUCAGACCUGGACUGAGUUGGGUUUAAGCCUGGGCUUAGACCAAGAGGGUUUUGAAGAUCAGACCGGGUGUGGACCCGGACUGGAUCAUGGUUGAGCUAGGCACGAGCCCCUAGCUCAGACCAAAAGGGGGCUUAGGUUCAAACCUGGGUGUGAACCUGG
rnacentral:lncRNA from 1 species